rnacentral:rRNA from 1 species
UACAGAGGAUGCAAGCGUUAUCCGGAAUGAUUGGGCGUAAAGCGUCUGUAGGUGGCUUUUUAAGUCCGCCGUCAAAUCCCAGGGCUCAACUCUGGACAGGCGGUGGAAACUACCAAGCUGGAGUACGGUAGGGGCAGAGGGAAUUUCCGGUGGAGCGGUGAAAUGCGUAGAGAUCGGAAGGAACACCUGUGGCGAAAGCGGCUCACUGGACCAUUACUGACACUGAGGCACGAAAGCUAGGGGAGCAAACAGG